AUUGAACGCUGGCGGAAUGCUUUACACAUGCAAGUCGAACGGUAGAGGGGGCAACCCCUUGAGAGUGGCGAACGGGUGAGUAAUAUAUCGGAACGUGCCCAGUCGUGGGGGAUAACGUAGCGAAAGUUACGCUAAUACCGCAUACGAUCUAUGGAUGAAAGCGGGGGACCGUAAGGCCUCGCGCGAUUGGAGCGGCCGAUAUCAGAUUAGGUAGUUGGUGGGGUAAAGGCUCACCAAGCCAACGAUCUGUAGCUGGUCUGAGAGGACGACCAGCCACACUGGAACUGAGACACGGUCCAGACUCCUACGGGAGGCAGCAGUGGGGAAUUUUGGACAAUGGACGCAAGUCUGAUCCAGCCAUUCCGCGUGCAGGAUGAAGGCCCUCGGGUUGUAAACUGCUUUUGUACGGAACGAAAAGGUUUCUCUUAAUACGAGGAGCUCAUGACGGUACCGUAAGAAUAAGCACCGGCUAACUACGUG
rnacentral:rRNA from 1 species